UACGUAGGGUGCAAGCGUUGUCCGGAAUUAUUGGGCGUAAAGAGCUUGUAGGCGGUUUGUCGCGUCUGCUGUGAAAAUCCGGGGCUCAACCCCGGACUUGCAGUGGGUACGGGCAGACUAGAGUGUGGUAGGGGAGACUGGAAUUCCUGGUGUAGCGGUGAAAUGCGCAGAUAUCAGGAGGAACACCGAUGGCGAAGGCAGGUCUCUGGGCCACUACUGGCGCUGAGAAGCGAAAGCGUGGGGAGCGAACAGG
rnacentral:rRNA from 1 species